GACGAAUUUUCCCAGUGAACUCCAUGUGGCCUGUGAUGUGAAGUGAAUUUCAACUCAGCUGUGGAGUGGGACCUGCAUGGUCACGGAUAAGGCCUCAUCCAUCCCUCACAUCUAAGCAAACUCCAAAGGAUUUGUGGCUCCUGGCGAAAUGCCCACUUUUAACCAAUAUGCUGAUGUCAGAUAUGCCAGGGGUUUUUUGUGUGUUAUUUAAAGGCAAGCCAAGAGGGAAGUAUGUGUCAUCAGUGCUGAAUCCAGAAUCGUUUGCUUCACACCAAACAACAAACCUGCCACCCCCUGUGGUGUAUGUCGACCUGUUACAAAGCCACUUCUUCCCAGCUGAAGCACAGAGGACUUCAAGCGCUGUUUUAUGCCGACAGCCAUCAGACUUCAGUGUGUACAGAGCUUCCUGCCCCACUGGCCCUAGCCUCAGCCAGCCAGAGUGUGCUGAAGCAGAAUAAUGGUAAAUGCUCUUUCUGCUCUGAGCAAUUCUGUAACUUUGCUUGCCUAAGUAAUAUAUGUUUAAUGUGUAUAGGUCAAUGAAUGUUAAAUAUCCUGCUACAGAAUAUGAUUACAUAAUUCCUUCAGUACAUGUCAUUGUCAGAAAAUGUAUUUCAUGACCAACCAAUUAACACUACUGUCUAUUUGUAUGACUACUUUGGAGGAAAUCGGAAAAGUGAAAAUGUGAAUAUCUGUGUAUCACUUGUGAUAUUUCAACAGUUUUGCCCACAAAUAGGCAAAACUAUUGCCUACAAUUUACACACUUUCUGUGUAAUAUCAAAACAUUUUCAACAGAAUAAAUGACAAACAUAAAGGUU